UACGGGGCGCAGCAGGCGCGAAAACUUCACACUGCAGGAAACUGUGAUGAGGGAACUCCAAGUGACUGCACAAUGUGUAGCCUUUUCAUGAAUCUUAAUAGUUCUUGGAAUAAGGGCUGGGAAAGACCGGUGCCAGCAGCCGCGGCGCAGCAGGCGCGAAAACUUCACACUGCAGGAAACUGUGAUGAGGGAACUCCAAGUGACUGCACAUUGUGUAGCCUUUUCUCAACUAUUAAUCGGUUGUGGAAUAAGGGCUGGGAAAGACCGGUGCCAGCAGCCGCGGUAAU
rnacentral:rRNA from 1 species